GAGCCAAGAAAGCCUUUAUUGGAGUCUGCAAUUCCCAGGAAAUGGACAGGAGAUAUGGUAUUGGACAAUGAGAGAGUAUGACCACCUAACCGACAUUGGGCAUUAUAUUGUAUAUUUGCAUCCAUUAUCUCACUUAAUAAUCAAAGUGACCAUGCAAGAUAAGAUAAUUGGGGUUUCAAGAGCAGCUAGCCCACAGUCCUACAGCAUUUAUGUUGCAUGGCUAAACUCACAUCUGCCUGAUUUCAAGCUUGGCUUUUAAUCCUAGGUAAUAUUGCCUCUGUUUUCAUCUUCAGAAGAGCUUAGAUGAGAAGAUAUCUAGGUGAUCACACAUUCAUACUAGAUUAAGCUAAAAAGUAAAUUGGAUAGAAGAGGAAGCGUUCCUUGCUUUGUUACAUUUAAUCAGAUGGUUGGUAUUUAUUAUGCACCCAAAGGAUUUCUUGCACUAAAUAAAGAAGUCCAAAACCAUAACCAA